ensembl:lncRNA
AUGAGUGUCUGGAGCUGUGAUUAACCAGGCAGCAACACAUCAUUUCCUCCCGGCGCGGAUCCAGGGAGCCGGGGAGGGAGCGGGAAAGGCGGCGCGGCGGGGCGGGGCCGUCCCCGCGCCCCUGCAGGCGCCCGGCCCUGAGGGAGCGGCCCAGCCCCCGAGCCGGCCGGGAGCAAGCCGCCGGGCCCUGCGCCCCGCGCCGUCUGUCUGGCAGGCUGGGGCCGCCGGCGCGGGUCUCCUCGGAGGCGACGGGCAGGCCUGAGCCGGGCUCCCGCGGCUGGGGUGGCAGGAGGAGAGGCCGCGCGGCGCGGGGAGAGCCCAGAUUGGUUGGAAAAUUAAGACAUCUAUUUGCUCACAGUUGUGGAGGCUACAAGUCCAAGAGCAAGAUUACUCCAGACCCUGAGCCACUGAUAACUCUCCAAGACGAUACCUGCCAUAGAAUACAUGCUAAACAAUCAUCUAUUGAACAAAUGCGACUGGAAACCAAAUUAUCAAUUUUAGCAGAUACAUAACAGUUGCCUUAUAUUAGAUUCAGACACUGACAGGAAGUGAAGCCCUAGAAAGUGAAGCCCUUUCAAAGCCCUGCUGAUGACAGGGCCUGGAUCCCUGAGUUACUGGUUGGAGUGGAGUUACCUGGAGUUGCCUCCCGAGCAGGAACAUCCAUGUUGGACAUUUUAUAUUAAAAAAGCAAAGACAUGGGGGAAAUGCUGGUGAUCUACUACAUGAAGAAAAGCAGAGUCCUAAAAUAGCAAUAUAUUGCUGGGACUACAGGAAUGAGAUGCCAAGGAGGCUGACUUUUCUCUUAUAGAAUAUAAAUACCUCUCUAAUAAAGAAAUAUUGGUUUAAAUUAUGAGUUUCAGAUACAACCGAAUCCAUUUCUGCUUCCUAGGGCUAUUUUCAUCUGAAGUCCCGUUGCACUUGAUUGUAGCCAAAGUGACUGAAGCCUCUUUGGAAAUACAUGGGACAUAAAUGUACAAUAGGGGCUGGAGGUAUAGCUCAGUAGUAGAGCAUCAGCCUAGCAAGUGUGAGGCCCUGGAUUUGAUCCCCAGCACCAAAUAUAUGUCUGUAUAAUAAAGUAAAAAGAGCUCAAAAACAAAAAUCAGACAUGAUGGGGUCUCAAACUUAGGUUCUGCUACAUGAUGACUUAUCUUCCUCAGUUUUUGAUGUGGAAUAAUAGUAACAGCUGAGAUUUGUAGAACAUUCAGUAUGUACCAGACACUGUUUAAGUGCUUUACAUACAGUGGAAUUCUGCUAAAAAUCCUCUAAGGCAAAUUUUUUAUUUUUAAUGGUACAGGAGAUUGAACCCCAGGCCUUGUACAUACUAGGCAAGUGCUCUUCAAUUGAGCUAUACCUCCAGACCUUCUUAUUUUAUUUUGAAACAAGAUCUCAUUAAAUUACCCAGGCUAGCCUUGAACUUGCAAUCCUCCUGACUCUGGCUCCGCCUCCUGAGUAGCUGGGAUUACAGGUGUGCACCACCACUUCUGGG